rnacentral:rRNA from 1 species
UACGAAGGGGCUAGCGUUGUUCGGAAUCACUGGGCGUAAAGCGUACGUAGGCGGACCAUUAAGUCGGGGGUGAAAUCCCAGGGCUCAACCCUGGAACUGCCUUCGAUACUGGUGGUCUGGAGUCCGGGAGAGGUGAGUGGAACUCCUAGUGUAGAGGUGAAAUUCGUAGAUAUUAGGAAGAACACCAGUGGCGAAGGCGGCUCACUGGCCCGGUACUGACGCUGAGGUACGAAAGCGUGGGGAGCAA